GAACGCUGGCGGCGUGCCUAAUACAUGCAAGUCGAGCGAACGGACGAGAAGCUUGCUUCUCUGAUGUUAGCGGCGGACGGGUGAGUAACACGUGGAUAACCUACCUAUAAGACUGGGAUAACUUCGGGAAACCGGAGCUAAUACCGGAUAAUAUUUUGAACCGCAUGGUUCAAAAGUGAAAGACGGUCUUGCUGUCACUUAUAGAUGGAUCCGCGCUGCAUUAGCUAGUUGGUAAGGUAACGGCUUACCAAGGCAACGAUGCAUAGCCGACCUGAGAGGGUGAUCGGCCACACUGGAACUGAGACACGGUCCAGACUCCUACGGGAGGCAGCAGUAGGGAAUCUUCCGCAAUGGGCGAAAGCCUGACGGAGCAACGCCGCGUGAGUGAUGAAGGUCUUCGGAUCGUAAAACUCUGUUAUUAGGGAAGAACAUAUGUGUAAGUAACUGUGCACAUCUUGACGGUACCUAAUCAGAAAGCCACGGCUAACUACGUGCCAGCAGCCGCGGUAAUACGUAGGUGGCAAGCGUUAUCCGGAAUUAUUGGGCGUAAAGCGCGCGUAGGCGGUUUAAGUCUGAUGUGAAAGCCCACGGCUCAACCGUGGAGGGUCAUUGGAAACUGGAAAACUUGAGUGCAGAAGAGGAAAGUGGAAUUCCAUGUGUAGCGGUGAAAUGCGCAGAGAUAUGGAGGAACACCAGUGGCGAAGGCGACUUUCUGGUCUGUAACUGACGCUGAUGUGCGAAAGCGUGGGGAUCAAACAGGAUUAGAUACCCUGGUAGUCCACGCCGUAAACGAUGAGU
rnacentral:rRNA from 1 species